CUGAAGCUGGAUUUUGAAGGUUGCAAGUUGGUGGGUCAUCAGUUAUUAUUAGGUUCAAUCCCCUUUGACAUGUAAUAUUGUGGCGCCAUUGUCUCUUUUGUAUAAUUGUGCACGCAGGAUUCUAUUGGAACAAUCACUGAAAAUGAUGAGAGAGUUUGUCUCACAUGUGCUGCUCACUAAUAAGAAGUAGAUUGAAGUGAAUGGUGCUAGAGAAGAAGGAGUGGUCGGGAAAGUACACCAGUGGUGCCCUACAAGGCGAGCAAUAGGAAGCUAAGGAGAUGCUCAGUGUAAUCCCUGAGAAGCAAAGGGCGAACCAAAGAACAUGUCCGCUUCGAGGGUGCACCAGGAGUAGUCCGAUGAUAAGGCUGAAGCUAUUUCAGCAACUGCUGAAGGAAAGAAUGAUAAGGUUGACCAGUGUUAGAUGACCAAGACAAAAAAAGGAGCUCUACUACUGGAAAGGGGGAGGGAUAUUAAAGAAAUCAAGGCAGUGACUACUCUGCGCCAGCUAUGCAGAGAUUAAUUACCUAUAGGUUACCUAUCCUAUAAUAUUAGCUUCUCCUCGAUUGACAUCUCAAGAGGAAAAUGGUCAUUCAUGCAACUAGGCUCACCAUCAACAAUGCUCCGCUACAAUGCUCUUUGACCAGCUUCAAGAGAGUCUCUUAAUGCAUCUGCUACUUGCAUGAACAAAGCCAUGACCAGGAAUUAUGUAACCAGUGAAGUGAAUGCUCCUUAUUAAGCGUGCUCUAAAACUAGAGUCUUUGGCUGCUUAGAUAGCUAUCUCAAAGCAAAGCAAAAACAAAAACUCCCAUAUAUUAUGAAGUGAACUCUAGCUUAUUGUGCAUGUGUUUUUUGACUGUGGUUUGUCUUUCUAUGCGUGAUAUGCUGCUCCAUAGCCUACACAUGAUUUCUUCUUCUUGAGAUAGAUAUUUUCAGUUGCCUUUUUUUAGCCACCUCUGCCCCUAUUUGUUAGUUCUUUUUUCCUAAUUUAGACUCUGGUGGUCUUCCUUUUCUCACGGCGUUUAGGGAUCUGGCCCAUUCAUUUUUUUUUGCUUCUGCC